rnacentral:rRNA from 1 species
AGUCGAACGUUAGCACAGGGGAGCUUGCUCCCCGGGUGACGAGUGGCGGACGGGUGAGUAAUGUCUGGGGAUCUGCCCGAUGGAGGGGGAUAACUACUGGAAACGGUAGCUAAUACCGCAUAACCUCGAAAGAGCAAAGUGGGGGACCUUCGGGCCUCACACCAUCGGAUGAACCCAGAUGGGAUUAGCUAGUAGGUGGGGUAACGGCUCACCUAGGCGACGAUCCCUAGCUGGUCUGAGAGGAUGACCAGCCACACUGGAACUGAGACACGGUCCAGACUCCUACGGGAGGCAGCAGUGGGGAAUAUUGCACAAUGGGCGCAAGCCUGAUGCAGCCAUGCCGCGUGUAUGAAGAAGGCCUUCGGGUUGUAAAGUACUUUCAGCGGGGAGGAAGGGAUGAAGGUUAAUAACCUUCGUCAUUGACGUUACCCGCAGAAGAAGCACCGGCUAACUCCGUGCCAGCAGCCGCGGUAAUACGGAGGGUGCAAGCGUUAAUCGGAAUUACUGGGCGUAAAGCGCACGCAGGCGGUUUGUUAAGUCAGAUGUGAAAUCCCCGGGCUCAACCUGGGAACUGCAUUUGAAACUGGCAAGCUUGAGUCUCGUAGAGGGGGGUAGAAUUCCAGGUGUAGCGGUGAAAUGCGUAAGAUCUGGAGGAAUACCGGUGGCGAAGCGGCCCCCUGGACGAAACUGACGCUCAGGUGCGAAAGCGUGUGAAGCAAACAGGAUUAUACCCCUGGUAGUCCACGCCCUAAACGAUGUCGACUUGGCAGGUUGUGCCCUU